rnacentral:lncRNA from 1 species
UUUUUUCAACCCGAAAUAGAUUAACAAUUGUAUUGAAAUUGAUUUGCAUUAGAUCGAUUUUUAUCCGACACAGCUCAUAUAAGGUUUUUAUACACCUGUUUACAGGAUGUAUUAUGGUUUAUCUCUGUCCGUCAACACAUUGGACAGUAACUCAUAAACGUUGAACCAAUUUUUGUAAAAGUUUGGUGGAUUGUUUAUAUCUGUUGACAUUGGUUCCCUUUCCUUUUUUGUAAAUUUCAGAUUUUAAAGUUUCUGAGUAAUUUUUUUUUUUAUCAUUUAAAAGGGAGGAUUUUCCAUUUUUCAGACAAUAACUCAAAAACACUUUCACCAAUUUGCAAGUAACUUUUUUUGAAUAGUUACUAUCUAUUGACAUGAGAUCCCUUUCAAUUGUUAAUUUUAAAUUUUGUGUUUCCGAGUCCUGGGGUUUUAUUCAUUAAAAACAGUGAUUUUCCAGUUUUCGAACAGUAACUCAUAACUGUUUUCAGCAGUUUUCAUGAAAC